UUUAGACUCUCACCAGCAUUGGGGUUCCGUCCGUGGGCACUGCGAGGACAGGGAAGCCUCCGCGCACCCGGCCAAACCUUCACGACUGACUUCGGAAUACGCAGCAAAAAGCACUUGGAGGGCAUCUCUCCAGACACAGCCCUGCCUUGUUUGUACGAUCACAGAGUAGGGAGGGACUACUAAUGAACCAAUUAUACUAAUGAACCAAUGAGUCAAUUAACUGUUAAUGAGCUAUUAACUCGGUGUGGAUGUGUCCUUGCCCUUCCAUCCCGGCCYCGGGGCUCCUGCUCCCUGGGAGUGGCUGCCGCGGAUGCUCCUGUGCGGAAUGAUGGGCCCGGUGUCCAUAGGAAAAACUAUAGGACCCCCGUGCCRGCCCUGCGCCCGCGGCGGGCAGCACCGAGGACCGUAGCGAGGCACAACUCGAGGCUCGCUGUUGGCCUCAGAGUCCUACGAGCUCAGUCCGGGGUUCUUCUAAAAGUGUGGCACCUGUAAACAGAUCUGGACAACAGCAGCRGCAUAUGGAGCGAAGGUGAACGCCUUCCCUUCUUACACGAUCCUGCGUUUCCGACACCUGGGCCACGGUCCCUUGUCAACGUUCCGACUCUUCGCUGUCGCUCC